GGGGCAUGGCGGCGGCCUACCAUGCAAGUCGAACGGUAGCACAGAGAGCUUGCUCUCGGGUGACGAGUGGCGGACGGGUGAGUAAUGUCUGGGAAACUGCCUGAUGGAGGGGGAUAACUACUGGAAACGGUAGCUAAUACCGCAUAACGUCGCAAGACCAAAGAGGGGGACCUUCGGGCCUCUUGCCAUCAGAUGUGCCCAGAUGGGAUUAGCUAGUAGGUGGGGUAACGGCUCACCUAGGCGACGAUCCCUAGCUGGUCUGAGAGGAUGACCAGCCACACUGGAACUGAGACACGGUCCAGACUCCUACGGGAGGCAGCAGUGGGGAAUAUUGCACAAUGGGCGCAAGCCUGAUGCAGCCAUGCCGCGUGUAUGAAGAAGGCCUUCGGGUUGUAAAGU
rnacentral:rRNA from 1 species